CCUACGGGUGGCAGCAGUGAGGAAUAUUGGUCAAUGGACUAGAGUCUGAACCAGCCAAGUAGCGUGAAGGAUGACUGCCCUAUGGGUUGUAAACUUCUUUUAUAUGGGAAUAAAAUGUUCCACGUGUGGGCUUUUGUAUGUUCCCUAUGAAUAAGGAUCGGCUAACUCCGUGCCAGCAGCCGCGGUAAUUCGGAGGAUCCGAGCGUUUUUCGGAUUUUUUGGGGUUAAAGGGAUGGUAGGUGGGUUGUUAAGUUAGUUGUGAAAGUUUGGGGGUCAACCGUAAAAUUGCAGUUGAAACUGGCAGUCUUGAGUACAGUAGAGGUGGGCGGAAUUCGUGGUGUAGCGGUGAAAUGCUUAGAUAUCACGAAGAACUCCGAUUGCGAAGGCAGCUCACUGGACUGCAACUGACACUGAGGCUCGAAAGUGUGGGUAUCAAACAGGAUUAGAUACCCCUGUAGUC
rnacentral:rRNA from 1 species